rnacentral:rRNA from 1 species
AGAUAUUAGAAAGAAUACCAAUUGCGAAGGCAGCUUUCUGGAUCAUUACUGACACUGAGGAACGAAAGCAUGGGUAGCGAAGAGGAUUAGAUACCCUCGUAGUCCAUGCCGUAAACGAUGUGUGUUAGACGUUGGAAAUUUAUUUUCAGUGUCGCAGCGAAAGCGAUAAACACACCGCCUGGGGAGUACGACCGCAAGGUUAAAACUCAAAUGAAUUGACGGGGACCCGCACAAGUAGUGGAGCAUGUGGUUUAAUUCGAAGAUACGCGCAGAACCUUACCAACACUUGACAUGUUCGUCGCGACUUUAAGAGAUUAAAGUUUUCGGUUCGGCCGGACGAAACACAGGUGCUGCAUGGCUGUCGUCAGCUCGUGUCGUGAGAUGUUGGGUUAAGUCCCGCAACGAGCGCAACCCUCACUUUUAGUUGCCAUCAUUAAGUUGGGCACUCUGAAAGAACUGCCAGUGAUAAGCUGGAGGAAGGUGGGGAUGACGUCAAGUCCUCAUGGCCCUUACGUGUUGGGCUACACACGUGCUACAAUGGUAUCUACAACAGGAAGCAAAACUGCGAAGUUAAGCAAAUCCUUAAAAGAUACCUCAGUUCGGAUUGCACUCUGCAACUCGAGUGCAUGAAGCUGGAAUUACUAGUAAUCGUGGAUCAGCGUGCCACGGUGAAUGCGUUCCCGGGUCUUGUACACACCGCCCGUCACACCAUGGGAGUUGGUUCUACCUUAAGGCAAGGUUUCAAACCCUUGACCACGGUAUAGUCAGCGACUGGGGUGAAGUCGUAACAAGGUAGCCGUAGGGGAACCUGCGGCUG